GGCCUUCCAUUCUCCUGUUCAAGAGGCAUCCUUCAGGGCUCCCUCUGCCUGUGUGACUGGCCAGCAGGGGGUGGUGAUAACUUUCUAUCCACUUAUCAGACACUGUGAGGCUGCAGAAUGACGUCCAUGUUUCGCUCCAGUUCAUCCCGUCCUCUCAUUGGACAGGGUAGAGAAAUGGCUGCAGAGGAGCCAGUUCAGGGGCCGGUGACCUUCGAGGAGGUGGCUGUGUAUUUCACCAG